AAGUCGUAACAAGGUCUCCGUUGGUGAACCAGCGGAGGGAUCAUUACUGAGUUAUUAAAACUCCAAACCCUUUGUGAACCUUACUGUCGUUGCCUCGGCGUGAGCUACGGCUACCCUGUAGUUACCCUAUAGCUACCCUGCAGCUACCCUAUAGUUGACCAGUGGCUACCCUGUAGUUACCCUAUAGCUACCCUGCAGCUACCCUAUAGUUGACCAGUAGCUACCCUGUAGCCGGCUUAUGGCCCGCCGAAGGACCGCUAAACUCUUGUUUUUUACCACUGUUUCUCUGAAUUGUAAACUUAAAUAAGUUAAAACUUUCAACAACGGAUCUCUUGGUUCUG
rnacentral:misc_RNA from 1 species